rnacentral:rRNA from 1 species
ACUCCUACGGGAGGCAGCAGUAGGGAAUCUUCCACAAUGGGCGCAAGCCUGAUGGAGCAACACCGCGUGAGUGAAGAAGGGUUUCGGCUCGUAAAGCUCUGUUGUUAAAGAAGAACACGUAUGAGAGUAACUGUUCAUACGUUGACGGUAUUUAACCAGAAAGUCACGGCUAACUACGUGCCAGCAGCCGCGGUAAUACGUAGGUGGCAAGCGUUAUCCGGAUUUAUUGGGCGUAAAGAGAGUGCAGGCGGUUUUCUAAGUCUGAUGUGAAAGCCUUCGGCUUAACCGGAGAAGUGCAUCGGAAACUGGAUAACUUGAGUGCAGAAGAGGGUAGUGGAACUCCAUGUGUAGCGGUGGAAUGCGUAGAUAUAUGGAAGGACACCAGUGGCGAAGGCGGCUACCUGG